CAGAAAUUCGCUCAGGUCUGGAAUGACACGAGGAAUGAAGAAAGUUACACAAGUUUGUAGGACAUAAAAGCAGGAGAGUGCAGUGGUCCAGCCCUGUGGAUGCUAAACGGCCGGGGAGGUUAAACGCAGCGCUGGAACUGAAGACGGCCGCAAAUAAACAAGUCCUUGGAGAAGGUUUUUAAGUCAUGAUGCAAGAGUCGGGGACAGAGGCGACAAACGGAACGGCCAAUCAGAACAGCGCCGCACCUAGUGUGGAGGGACACAGAGAAGUUCGAUCCAAGAGCGCCACUCUUUCCUCUGACAUCACAGUGUCUGACCUCAUCAACUUCCAGCAGCAGCAGGCCUUACAAGUUGCACGACAGAUCCUUCUCCAACAGCAACAGCAAAGCAGUGCCCACAAGUCCCCAAAAAACAAUGACAAGCAACCUGCACC